rnacentral:rRNA from 1 species
UGGGGAAUCUUGCACAAUGGGGGCAACCCUGAUGCAGCGACGCCGCGUGAGCGAUGAAGCCCUUCGGGGCGUAAAGCCCUUUCGACCGGAACGAUAAUGACGGUACCGGGAGAAGAAGCUGCGGCUAACUACGUGCCAGCAGCCGCGGUAAUACGUAGGCAGCAAGCGUUGUUCGGAGUUACUGGGCGUAAAGAGUGCGUAGGCGGUUUUCUAAGUUCGGUGUGAAAUCUCCCGGCUUAACUGGGAGGGUGCGCCGAAGACUGGGAAGCUGGAGUGUGGGAAAGGCAGGCGGAAUUCCUGGUGUAGCGGUGAAAUGCGUAGAUAUCAGGAGGAACACCGGCGGUGUAGACGGCUUGCUAAACCAUAACUGACGCUGAGGCACGAAAGCGUGGGUAGCAAACA